AUGGGGCCUCUCGGCGACUCGUACGCGCUGCGCUGUGUCUCCGACCUGCCCCCGCCGUUCCGCCCCGUGUUUGGGUUCAGGUACUUCAACUCCUUGCAGAGCGAGUGCUUCCCUGUGUGCUUCCUCUCGGAUGUAAACAUGGUUGUCUCUGCGCCUACUGGGAGUGGUAAGACCGUACUGUUUGAGCUUUGCAUUCUGAGGCUCCUCUCGAGGUUCCUCACAACGGACUGGAGGUUCAAUUUGCUAAAAGGAACCCAGAAAACAAUCUAUAUCGCUCCCAUGAAGGCGUUGGUGCAGGAGAAGAUGCGCGACUGGAAAGUGAAGCUGGGCUCGUUGGGGAUAAAUUGCUUGGAGAUGACUGGUGAUAGUGAAUUCUUUAACAAGAAGGCCAUACAUGAUUCCGAUUUGAUCCUCACCACUCCUGAGAAGUUCGAUUCUAUGAGCCGUCAUGGAGUAAGGGAUGGAGGAUUGGGUUUCUUCAGUGAUAUUGCUCUGGUCCUUAUUGAUGAAGUUCAUCUUCUCAAUGAUCCACGUGGAGCUGCGCUGGAAGCAGUGGUCAGUAGAAUAAAAAUGCUUUCUCGACUUGGCAACAUGAAAUCUGCUCCAUUGGCAAAUGUUCGAUUCAUAGCAGUUUCUGCAACUAUCUCUAAUGCUGAGGAUAUAGCUGAAUGGCUCCUAGCACCUCCUGAAGGAAUCAAAAGAUUUGGAGAAGAGAUGCGGCCAGUGAAGUUGACAACCAAAGUUCUUGGUUAUGCUCCAGCGAAAAAUGACUUCCUGUUCGAGAGGAGGCUACAAAGUUUCAUAUUUGAUAUACUGAUGCAACACUCAAGAGGGAAGUCUGCACUUGUUUUCUGUUCUACAAGAAAAGGUGCACAAGAAGCAGCACAGUGCCUCUCACAAACUGCGGGUUCUCUUGGCUAUUCAAAUCCAUUCAUGAAAUCUAUGCAGCAGUAUGAACAUCUACGAGAGGCUUCCUUAACCUGUAGUGACAAGCAGCUGCAGUCUUGUAUCGUACAUGGAGUUGGUUUUCAUAAUGGUGGUCUUUGCUUAAAGGAUAGGAGUCUUGUUGAGGGUCUUUUCCUGAAGGGUGAUCUUCAAAUUCUAUGCACGACAAAUACUUUGGCACAUGGCAUCAACUUACCUGCACAUACAGUAGUGAUAAAAUCGACACAAUUUUUCAACAAAGAGAAGGGCUCAUAUGUAGAAUAUGAGAGAUCCAUGGUGCUUCAGAUGUGUGGGAGGGCUGGCCGUCCACCAUUUGAUGAUACUGGAACAGUUGUAAUUAUGACAAGAAGAGAGACAGUCCAUCUAUAUGAGAACCUUCUCAGUGGAUGUGAAAUGGUGGAGUCUCAGUUGCUGCCAUGCGCAGUGGAGCAUUUAAAUGCAGAGAUUGUUCAGCUGACAGUGUCUGACAUAACUUUGGCAAUUGAAUGGCUCAAGUGCUCAUAUUUGUACAUCAGGAUAAAAAAGAACCCUGAGCACUACGGAAUUAAGAGAGGGAUUCCUCGUGAUCUCCUUGAGAAACAAAUGAGAGAUAUAUGUGUUGAGAAGAUCCACGAGUUGGGUGAGUAUGGGCUAAUUUGGACAGAUGGAGAUGGUUUCAGUCUAAAACCAUUAGAACCUGGGAGGCUGAUGACAAAAUUCUAUUUAAAGUUUGACACGAUGAAGCUUAUUGUCAAAGCUUCUGCAUGUUGCAGUUUGGAAGAUUUAUUGCAUAUCAUCUGCCGCUCUGCAGAGAUUUCUUGGAUCCAACUACGUCGAAAUGAGAAGAAAACUCUAAAUGACAUAAACUCAGAUAAAGAGGGGAGGCUUCGAUUCCAUGUUGUCAGUGAGAAUGGAAAAAAGAAGAAGCGUAUCCAGACAAGAGAAGAUAAAAUAUUUGUAUUAGUGAAUGACUGUUUAACUGGGGACCCCCUAAUGCAUGAUUUAUCCCUCAACCAGGAAACAAAUUCAAUAUGCUCAAAUGGAUGUAGGAUUGCCAAAUGCAUGAAAGAAUAUUUUAUAUACAAAAGGAGUUACAGAUCUGCCAUAAAUUCUAUGCUCCUUGCAAAAUGCCUAGACCAAAAACUUUGGGAAAGCAGUGUAUUUUUACUCAAACAACUUCCUGGAAUUGGAAUUGUUACAGCAAAGGCACUGAAGACUGCUGGAGUUGAUUCCUUCGAGAGCCUGGCAACUGCUGAUGCUAGAAAGCUGGAAAGUGCGACGGGACGAAAUUAUCCAUUUGGAAAUCAGAUAAAGGAGUCCUUGUCGUCAUUACCGCCAAAAAUUGACAUACAAAUUGAGGAUGCUGGAAACAAACAGGGGAAAUCAACCAUUACUGUAACACUAAGCCGGCAAUCACAGGCAGUUCGAUCCAAGGCUCGAGAGUUUUCCAGCCCAUAUUCUGUAAAACUUUUGGUGCCAUGCCCCCAGAGUGCCAGGGUGACUCUGAAGGUAGAUCUGAUUUUUGAAGAACACGUUGGUAUUGAUAUCCACAAGAAGCAUGUGGUCAGCAGGGAGGAUGAUUUUCAUGUGACAAAAGCAUAUGGGACAGAAAAGCAAAAGCCCUUGAUCAGUCUUCCUGCUGAUAUUUGUUUGGUUAGCUCCAGGACAGCUGAAACAAGUUCAGCUCAACCUCAUAUUGGACGGAGCCCACUAUCAAAAGAGGUUUGCGUUAUAGAAGACGAUGAUGAUGCCAACGUUCCAGACAAAGUUGACAAUAUGCCAGGAACGAGAACAUUUAACAACUUGGCUUCACUAGAGGUCCCCAGCUUUGACCUAAUGCUUGAAGAAGAUAAUGGAGAUAUGCAAGAUGUGUUGUUUCCUGAACCAACAAAAGCAGAAUGCAGAAGUGCCACCAGCAACACAAUUUUUGAUCACAUACGCAAGAAAUCCAGAGAUUUUCCAACACUGAUGUUAUCAAAGUCGAUGGAUAGCUCUUAUGAACCUUUGAUACUGAAGAAGAUGAAGACAUCGAGGGGCCAGUUUAACUUGGAUCAGGGAAUCCUGCAUGCGAAUGAGGUCACACCAAUGGAUUCUGAACAUUCCGAGCUUAGAGUCUCUCCGACCAAUACAGCCGAGAAGUGUCGGAGGAUCCUGAGCAGAACUUCAGAGAAGAGCCGCUCUCUGUUUGCAGAGAAAGUUUACAGCCCAUUUGAGAAGAGCAAGAGCCUGAGUAGAAUUCCAGAUGAAAACUCUGUUCAAUUUGCUGUCAGAACUGACAGCCUAUCGGAGAAGACCAAGAUCUUGUGGACAGCAGCUGAUGAGAACUCUCAACAAUUUGGAGGCAAAAGGGACAGCCCAUCUGAGAAGAGCAAGAUCCUGAUGAGACCUCCAGAUGACGGCACUCUUCAAUUUGCAGGCAGAAGGGGCAGCCCAUCCGAAAAGAGCAAUGUCUUGAGCAGAACUCCUGAUGAGAACAGUCUCCAGUUUGCAGCUAAAAGGGACAGCUCAUCCGCGAAGAGCAAUGUCUUGAGCAAAACUCCUGACAUGGACUCUGCUCAGUUUGCCGGUAGAAGGGGCAACCCGUCGGAGAAGAACAAACUCUGUUCCAGCAGCCCCUUCCCAGAUUUCCAGGCUAUGAGGCAAGCUCCAGCUGCAGUUCAGCCUCUCAGGAUUCAAGACUACUGCAAGGAUAUAUUGGCGAGCUCAAAGGGCAGUGGAACUGGCGAACCUUUCCUUGGUUUCAAGAGUGUCUUUUCCUUCCUCUGA
rnacentral:rRNA from 1 species